UAUAACGGCACGAUACUUGUCUUGCAAAAAUCGCGGUGGGCUAUCAUUCGCGUCUGAUAAACUGAUACGCAAUGAAACACUAGUUGUUUGUCCCUGGCCAUCAUCAUCCGUUGCCUGAAGAAGAAUGAAAAUUAAUUAAGAUUUGCACACGGAGCCACUGUAAUGAUCCCAGAUUUACGGUCAACAGAAAAAUGUUGCGCACCUUGUCCAAGCAAUUGAUAAGCUAUUCCAGCUGUGCCAAAACUGCAAAUACAACAUUUUUAUUAAACUUUCGAAUUCGGAUCCAGAAAAAUAUUUCGAGGUAUUUCUUACCGUCCGCUGUCACGAUCUUUAGCAGUGAUCGUUAUAACUGGUGUUCCUGGAGGUGCAGUUUCCAGUACCACAGCAGUAUAUGUGGGAUUACUGAAUGUGGGUGAAUUAUCGUUUGCAUCUGUGAUAGAGACAGUCACGGUUGCCGUGGAGGAAAGUUUUGGAUCUGUAUGGACCUCUUCUGCAACGACCUGAAGGAUAACAAUGAAAUUGAAAUUGAUUUUAUUAAGAAUUACUCACCACAUCGGGAUCCUUGACAGUCAUGUCCAAAUGAGGCAGAGGCGUGCCAUUCGGCACAUUCUCAGGAAUUUCUAUAUUGUAUUCGCGACGAUUAAAAGUAGGUGGCUCGUCGUUAACAUCCUUGAUUGUCACCGUCGCUUCGGCCGUAGAGACUGUCAGAUUAUCGUUACCUGGCAUACCAUCGAUCAAUUCACGUGCCCUCACCUUCAAGAAAAUGGCAAAAGAAAAUGGCAUCGACUCACUGGUAACUAAUUCGUAGAUCAUCUUUCUUGGCAUUCCUCUAUCGCCAUCCCUGGCUUUGACGGUCAUGACCAAGGUUCCAAUGGGGUCGUCCUCGCGUACCACACCCGUUAACGAGUCCAGAAAUUCCGGUGGACUGUUCUGAAUGUCUGCCACCUUGAUUUCCACCCCUGUAGUCUCAUUGUUCAACCCAUCCUGCGAGGAAAAUUCACUUGUAUAAAAAUGAUUCGUAGCCUGAUCCUGGGUUAUCUUUCGCGUGGUUUAAGACAGGAACAAUCUGCUCUCCUAACAAUUUUGUCUGUCAAUUCAAUUCUGCCGGAAAUUUAUUUAUUACGUAUAAGUUGAAUUGGGAAACUUUUCGAGAUGUUCAUGACGUUAAUUCAUUCUCGUUUCCUGCAUUGGACAUUGUUUUCUUUGAUUUUCUAAAACAGUUGGUGCAUUAAAAAAUAUUCAUUUUUUGGCUUCACAAAAUAUUUAUGUAUCAACUAUUGAAGAAAUAUUAAUAACACCAGGAUAUUAUACGCUCCUCAAAAUCAUUCAAUUUUUAUUUGAUAUAUUUUUUUAUUAAUAUUUCCAUAAACAAGCGAGAUAAUAAAAUUGAAAUCGAUACAAAAACGGUAUUUACGGUUUUUGGCCGAAAAGUUCGCAAUUUUUUAGUGCUUUUAAAUUAAAAUUUAAUGAUUAUACUAUUUUUAAUUAUUAAAAUAUAUAAACUUUGCUUUUAUUAUAGUGUGCAUUUGUUCUGCUCCGUGUAUUAUUUUAUUAUAUUCUUUAUUUUUGAAUUUUACUAAAUAAUUAGAAUUUUCCUUUAAAUCAACUAAAAUUAUUGAUUUGCAUACAAGUUUUAAAUAAAUUCCGGACAAUUAGAUUCAUAUCGAAAUAAUAAUUUGGCUAUAAAAAAUAAUAAAAUAUUACGUAUUGAUAUAUAAAUUAUUAAUACGUAUGUGUGAAAUACAUUGAUAAUUGAUAAAAUUUGCAAAUUUCAGGCUUUUGUUAACUAAAAACUAAUUUUUUGAUUGAUAAAAGAAAACAGGUUAAAUUUUUUCGUGUGAAAACACAUUAUUAUUAUAAUAAUUGCACUUUCAAGUAUAAAUAAACUUGGUCUUCAAAGUUGCACAAAGUCAUUUCCAAGACUACGUAAUUAAAAUCAAUUUUCAACCUUGGCUCGCAUACCUGUUUUCAACCUUCACGAAGACUUCCUAAAUUCGCCAUAUUUACCUGCUCAUUCGAAGCAUAAAUAUCUUCUUUAGCGGCCAAGAUAAUUAACUGUCCCAUCUUUCUUUUCACGGUAAACUUAUUUUACAAUUAUUAAGAAACAGAGAGCAAAAAAUUGCGCUUAAAAAAUGACAUUCAUUGAAGAAAAAUCGGGAAAAUAUACAAAUUUAAUAAAAACGUGAUAAUUAUUUAUAAUUAUCAUCCUCCAAUCUUGAUGAUUUUUUAAAAUUUUGUUAAGAUCAUAUCAUUUGAUUUAUGUUUUAAAUAUAUUUUAGUAUUUGUUUUGUUAAAAAAUUAUUAACAAAACUGCAUUCUUUAAAACUCAGAUUAGAUUAAAUUAGAUUAAUUUUAAUUAAGUUUAUUGUUACAGAUAAUUAAUUAAGAAAACUAAUCAUCGGUUAACGAUUAAAUAAAUUUUUACUUAAUUUUGAUUUAAAUUGAAAUUAAACUUUAAUUAAACUUAAUUUUUUGUAUAUCCAUGAUUAGGUUAACUUUUUAAUAAACAACCUAACCUAACGGAUAAUUUUGACAACAGAAAAAUUAUAACACCAGAAUAUUAUAAGAUUAAAAAAAUCAUUAAAAAAUCAUCAUAGAUCGAACGGUGGUAUAUUUGUAAUUUAUCAAAAACAUGUAAGCUGCUUUUUUUCGACGCGUCCUCUCAUUUUUGUUAUUAACCUCGAAAAAAUUUUUUUCUCGCAAUUCGUUGAAAAUUCGCUUUCGAAGAAUUCACUUCCUAUUUUGCUCGCGGAAAUUAAUGGAAACUGAAUUUCAUGUUCGCAACUGGGUGUGUCAAAGAGCAUUUUAAAUUCAAUAAUCCGAUUUGAUCUUGUUUAAUUCUUGUAUUUUGGGGGUAAAUUACUUGGGAGGUGAUUUUUCGAGAUUACAGUGGGAUAAAAAAAGAUUAUAGGAACAUUUUUCAUUGUGAUGUAUUGAGGAAGAAGGAAGUGUUAAACACCGUACAAUUGCUGGGAACAUUGUUUUCGAGCUCGUAUCUGAUGACAAUGAUAAAUGAUAGUAUAACGAAAUACUGCAGUAACAAGAUAUCCUAGAUUAAUAGAUAAAAAAUAAUGCAUUCUUCAGAACUAAGUAGUAAAUUUCUUAUUGUUAUUUUUCGAAUUUAUUUAUUGUUUUGUAAUAGAAUCUCUUAUUUACGAAUACAAAAUGUAAAUACAUGAAAAAAUAUCGAUAAAUAUAGUAUUACAUGAUAUAAGAUAAAAUGUCAUCUUCAUUUCUGACCUUGCAUAAGCUUAAAAGUCAUAGUCAUGUGUACGAAUGAAUUCGUUUUGUCAUAUAUAUAUCUCAUAUGUUUUAUAUAUGAUAUUUUUCUCUUGAAAAAUUGAUGCACACUAUUAAUUUUUCCCUUUAAUAUUUUUUUCUAAUACCUUACGAAAAAAAACGCUGACUAGUCUCUGAACACUUUAUAUAUCUAUAUACGCACAAGAAAUUCCACUGUUAAAUAGAAAUUAUUUCCCUUACAAGUUCAGAAAUUCUAAAAUUAAUUCGUAUGAUUUACAAUAGCGUAUCCAGCCUGAUAACAAGCUAGAUGGUUUCCAGAAGCGCGUCUUGUCGUAAAUAGAUUUAUCUUAAGGACGAGUGUGAAGGUUAGAGGUUCUGGCGUAGCUGUGGUAUAAUUAAAACU